GUCGAGCCUAAGAGAUAGGAGAAAUCCGUUUCAAAGCGACAGUUCUUCGGUACUGUCCGCCUAUCGAAAGGGAAUCUGGUUAAUAUUCCAGAACCAGGACGUGGAUAUUGAGUGGUAACACAAGCAAAACCGGGAACGAUGGCGGGAGCCCUGAGGAGAGUUCUCUCUUCUUCUUAACAAGCACACUAACCCUGGAAUCGGAUUGACCGGAGAUAGGGUU
rnacentral:rRNA from 1 species